ensembl:lncRNA
UUUCCCCUGGAACAAUUGGAGGCCGUGGAGGCAUUUGAAAUGUUUCUAAAGGAACCGUCAAAUGGCCCAGCUCGACAGAGAGUGAUUUCUUCUUUGGCCACCAUUGGAGGCCAGGAUGUGAAGAGGGUGACCUGGAACAUCCUGGGCAGGCUCUUCACAGAUGAGGUGUCUCAUCAGAUCAACUGGAAGGGUGUUAAUAACAAAAAGCCCUUCAGUAGGAUGGCAACGAAGACCUUGCUUUUCAGUGCUGUGAGGAAAAACACGGUGACACGGUCCGCCACGGAUGCGGAGGUCACCAAGCACGCAAUCAGGUGGUUCAACCUGGCAGCAGAUCGGGCAACGAGGAGACGUGUCCCGCCUCCAUCCACACAAACUGAGUAAUAGGAAGAUUGAUUAAACAAUAAAUCAUCUUUUUAUUGAACCUCUUUGUCGUUCAUCAGUUAUUUAUUUUCUGAUGCUGUGCAUAGUGCAACAUUUCAUUGAAGUUGUGGUCUAAUAGAUCAAAUAUUUUAUGUUUGCACCGACCUAGGUCUAUAAAGCAUUAAAUUAGGUUUUGACCAUAAAAUGAAUGUAGAUUAGCCUAGCCAACAUAGGCUACUUAGCAAAAACUGAAUAGGCUAUAACCUAUAACUUUCCAUAAAUGCAAAUGUCAAUUUUAUAUUUCCAUUGAGUAGUGAUUACUUUUGUACAGUAAAUUUAUGUCUUGUCUUGGAGCUUUUCUGUUAGGCUUAAAUAUUGUUAGGUUAAAAAUACAAGGCAAUGCAGAUUUAAGCUUAGGUUUAUAUUGCUGUAGUAGCCUAGGCAGGCAUAGUGAUAGUUUUAUCUUAGUUUACUUUAUCCUAUUUUAUCCUACAGCAAGAACAGAAGGGAUUUUGAAAAUGAGAUAAACUGGUCCAAAACGGACCCG